GUGUGUGCCCGUGUGUGUGUCUGUGUGUGUGUCUGUGUGUGUGUACGCGGGCGCGCGUGUGUGUUUCUGUGUGUGUGUGUGUUUGUGUGUGCGUGUGCGUAGCGCCAGCCGCCUUCCUUCCCCUACACGUUGAUCUUAUUCGAUCGGCCGGGCUUCGCCGGGCCGAAGUGAGAAGAAAGCGCCGCGAAGCCCUCGGGCGCUGUGCGGCUGGGCCGGGCGGGAUGAGUCGAUCAGAUAGGCGAGGCCACGGCCGAUGAGCGCCCUGCGAUUCUGACCCGC
rnacentral:snoRNA from 1 species